rnacentral:misc_RNA from 1 species
CGCCGCACAUGACAAAUGUCACUGUGAUACGGCUCUGCAGCCUUCAGGCCUCCCUGAAAACUGUGAAAAUUCAUUAGAAAAGUGCAUAUUUAUCAUACUUGUGUUGUACUAAACUGUGCACCCGUUGUACAUAGUGGAUAUUGUUUGUGAAAACUGGGCGAAACAUUGUAUGCUGUAGCGGCGGCGGUGCCGUGGGGGGCAUGCGCCGGCGGCGCUGAGGCAUGAGCGCGGCGCGCGCGCCGGAUCCCCGCGACCCACCGCGCCAUCACCGCCAACACCCUCAGGGUGGCGGCGAGGCGCGCGCGGGGCGCAGCAAGCGGACAUCGGCGUCUUCGACGGGGUCCCUGGGCCGGGGCGCACUGUCCGACCCUGAUCUCCAGAGCCGGUUGCAGCCGAACCUUCCAGCGUUCUGGGAAUCAUCGCCAACAUUGACGCUUUUUUCGUCAAAGGGCUCAGCAGAUUCGAACUAUUCGCAACCAUCGUCGGAGCUGUCGCUUGACGAAGACAAGGAGGCGCUGCGCCGCGAGAAGGAAGCGCAGGCUAUCAAACAGCUGGACAAGGCACGGGAGAAGCCAGUGGCGUUCGCGGUGCGCACCAAUGUGUCAUACGAUGGCACCGUGGACGACGACUCGCCGGUGCACGGCAGCGCCAUCUCCUUCGAGGUGCGCGAUUUUCUCCACAUCAAGGAGAAGUACGACAACAACUGGUGGAUCGGGCGGCUCGUGAAGGAGGGCAGCGACGUGGGCUUCAUCCCGUCGCCCGUGAAGCUGGAGGCGGUGCGGUCGGGGCUGGGCGCGCGGCGCUACCCGCGGCCCGCGUCCGCCGCGCCGCCGCCGCACGCGCCGCCCCUCUCCCGAGGUAGCACCCCCCCCACGCCCGAUGUGCCUUCGUUCGAUCGAGGCGAGGAGUCGGACGGGGCUGGCCGCGGGCGGGGCGCGGGGGGCAAGGAGAAGCGCAAGCCGUUCUUCAAGAAGGCGGAGGCGAGCACGCCGUACGACGUGGUGCCGUCCAUGCGGCCCGUCGUCAUCGUGGGGCCCAGCCUCAAGGGGUACGAGGUCACCGACAUGAUGCAGAAGGCUUUGUUUGAUUUUCUCAAAAGACGCUUUGAAGGCAGGAUAAUAAUAACGCGCGUGAUGGCCGACAUAUCUCUCGCGAAGCGCUCUCUGCUCAACAACCCGUCGAAACGAGCCAUCAUGGAGCGUUCCAACUCGCGGUCCACUUGCCUCGCUGAAGUGCAGGCUGAAAUCGAGAGGAUAUUCGAGCUGGCUCGGACCCUUCAACUCGUGGUGCUGGACUGUGACACCAUCAACCAUCCCUCACAGCUCGCCAAGACUUCACUGGCUCCCACCAUCGUGUACCUGAAAAUCUCCAGUCCCAAGGUGCUACAGCGGCUGAUCAAGUCGCGAGGGAAGGGGCAGACCAAGAACCUGUCGGUGCAGAUGGUGGCUGCCGAGAAGUUGGCGCAGUGCCCGCCUGACAUGUUCGACGUCAUCCUCGAUGAGAACCAGCUCGAGGACGCUUGCGAACAUAUUGCUGAAUAUUUAGAGGCGUACUGGCGCGCGACGCACCCGCCGGUGCCCGAGGAGGCGGCGCCCGCGCGCGCGCUCACACGCGCGCACAACGCGCACGCCAUGCCUGUACAAGCGUCGGGGCAGGCCCACUAACACCAGGCGAGGACUAAAUUCCAGGUGUUUAUAGUCACGCACCGGCCCCGUCCAGGCGGCAGGUCCCGCGCGGCGCGGCCGGAGCGCCUGGAGGAGGAGUACUACCCGCGCGGCGAGCGCUGCGAGCGGUACGAGCGCGGCUACCCGCGCGACUACCACGACUACGGGCCCGAGUACCCGCGCGAGCGAGCCCA